GUCCUUUUGUUUUUUAUUUAAGGUCUAGUCUGCCCACUGAAUUUUGUAUUUUAAAUGGCCGCAGUAUUUUGACUGUGCAAAGGUAGCAUAAUCAUUAGUUUUUUAAUUAAAAGCUUGUAUGAAAGGCUGGACGAGGUAAGAUCUGUCUCUAUAUAAAUUAUUAUAGAAUUUAACUUUUAAGUCAAAAGGCUUAAAUAUUAUUAAAAGACGAGAAGACCCUAUAGAGCUUUAUAGUUUAUAAAAUAAAAUUAAUUUAGAAAUAUUAAUAUUUUAUUUUUUAAAAUUAUUUUAUUGGGGUAAUAAAAAGAUUGAAUUAAUUCUUUUUUAUUAUAAACAUUGAUUUAUGAAUAUAAAAUGAUCCAAUUUUAUUGAUUAUAAGAUUAAGUUACCUUAGGGAUAACAGCGUAAUUUUUUUAGAGAGUUCAUAUCGAUAAAAAAGUUUGCGACCUCGAUGUUGGAUUAAAGAUUAUUUUAGGUGUAGAAGCUUAAUAAAUUUGGUCUGUUCGACCAUUAAAUCUUUAC
rnacentral:rRNA from 1 species